GCCUCGGGGGCCGGGUGGCGCCGCCUGGCCUCCCGCCCCGGCGCCGCCUGCUCUAACCGCUUCGGGCGCGGCGGCAGCGGUUUGGCGCUGCCUGGAGCCCCGGGUCUCGGUUCCUGCAAAAUACGUUCAAGGAGAAUGCCUGCAGCUGAGCAGAGAAUUUAACCUAAGCUUCCUGGCAACUCAAGGAAAAGAAGAACACAAGAAAGAAACUGAAUAAAGUAGAACAGAAUGGAAACAACUAGAAAACAAAUAGAGCACAGGCCAAGGUGGCAGGAGGGAGACCAAAUACAGACGACAAUGAGUAUAAAUGGGUUCUUCUCUAAGAAAAAGGAAAAAAUGGAAUCCAGUGAUCAGCUGCUUACAAGUCAGGCCCGUAACAUGGCGAUGGAGACAGCAUACAAACUAAUGCCUCUCAGAACUGGCAGUUCUGGCCCUGAAUGUGCAGGGCAGUUUCCUCACAUCAGCCUCUUCGCUGGCCCUAGCUUGAUGCCUCACAGUUUGAUUCUACCCCGAUUCUCCCCCUUGGAUGAACUCGGGCCCCACAGAUGUUCCUGGACCUGGGAAGAGCUUACAUCCCAUAAACCCAUCCUGAGUGGAAAAUAUCAGAAGUCGAUAUCAAAUUCACCCACCUAAGAGCAAAACAGCAUGCUGUGGAGCAGCUGUGUCCAACCUGUGGGUCACACACUCCUGCUAAUUAAAAAAAAAGUUAGAAAAGAAAGUUUUCUCACUUAGAUACAUUAACUACAUCCCACUUUUCCUAUGGGUCCUAAGACAAUUCCUCGUCCCUCAGGGGAACCCAGGAGGGCCAGGCGUGUCCUGCCGCCGGGUGGUCAUUCAGACCCUGCUGCCAUGUAGACAGCCUGUCGGCUCCCUCUGACAGAGCUGUGGCUCAGCGAUGGCACCCAGCAUCGCCAGGGCAACCGUGCCAAACCUGGCUUUCCUGGGAGCAAAGCGAAAUUCACAAUUUGAAGUAUGAUUUAUCCUGAGGAUCUAUCACUUUUGCCCCACUGGCAGGUCAGAAC
rnacentral:lncRNA from 1 species